rnacentral:rRNA from 1 species
GAUGAACGCUGGCGGCGUGCCUAAUACAUGCAAGUCGAGCGAAUGGAUGGGAGCUUGCUCCCUGAAGUUAGCGGCGGACGGGUGAGUAACACGUGGGCAACCUACCUACAAGAUUGGGAUAACUUCGGGAAACCGGAGCUAAUACCGGGUAAUACAUUGAGCUGCAUGGUUCAAUGUUGAAAGAUGGCUUCGGCUAUCACUUGUAGAUGGGCCCGCGGCGCAUUAGCUAGUUGGUGAGGUAACGGCUCACCAAGGCCACGAUGCGUAGCCGACCUGAGAGGGUGAUCGGCCACACUGGGACUGAGACACGGCCCAGACUCCUACGGGUGGCAG